rnacentral:rRNA from 1 species
CGCCAGACUCCUACGGGAGGCAGCAGUGGGGGAUAUUGCACAAUGGGGGGAACCCUGAUGCAGCGACGCCGCGUGGGUGAAGGAGCGUUUCGGCGCGUAAAGCCCUAUCGGCAGGGAAGAAACAGACGGGACCUGACUAAGAAGCCCCGGCUAACUACGUGCCAGCAGCCGCGGGAAUACGUAGGGAGCGAGCGUGUGCCGGAAUUACUGGGUGUAAAGGGAGCGUAGGCGGGGAUGCAAGUUGGGUGUCAAAACUACCGGCUCAACUGGUAGUCGCACUCAAAACUGCAGCUCUUGAGUGAAGUAGAGGCAGGCGGAAUUCCUAGUGUAGCGGUGAAAUGCGUAGAUAUUAGGAGGAACACCAGUGGCGAAGGCGACUUUCCGGACUGUACCUGACGCUGAGGCGCGAAAGCGUGGGUAGCGAACGGGAUUAGAUACCCUUGUA